rnacentral:lncRNA from 1 species
CAACAUGAAUGAAAAAAAUAAACACACUGAGCAGAGGUUAAUGCCACGCUCCAAAGAACACUAAAGAACAAAGGAUGAAAUUCACUAACAAUAACUGAGGUUUUAAACAUUAGCGAACUUCAGGACUAUCUCAAUAUGACACCACUUUCCAAGUGCAGAAAAUUAAACCUUGAGUAGAAAUACGACAUUCCCAAUAAUUUUGGGACAACAAGAAUUAAAUUACUGACAAUCACUAAGGUUAUAAACAGCAGGUCGGAACUAUCUCAGGAUACAGCAAGACAUGGUCGUUACAGGAAUAAAAUAAUCAUCACAGGAAUAAAGGAAUCGUCACAGGAAUAAAGGAAUCAUCAUGAUGCGGAAGACAAAGCAAAAAUAUCCCGGGAAAACCACAGCAAUCACUCGGUAUAAAAACGAGUGAAUGAAUAUAGACCUACAAACAAGAAAUAGUUAGAAUUAGUGACUAUUUUAAUCACGGAAAACAGUAAAAGGUGACUCCGUGAAAAUAAAUCACCAACUAAACCUAAAAGGAGAAAAAAUGUAUCAACUAACAAUAUAAGAAUUUUAUACUCUUUCAGCACAUUAUCCACCAUUCAUUUUUCAGUAACUACGCAUAAAUGAUGGAGGACUGCAUAAAUUUUUAUGUGACAUUGCAUAAAUAUUACAGUCAACAUUAAAUAGUCGGAAUAAAAAAUUAUGUCAUCUAGAAUAACAACAUAAAAAUCUGUUUAUGGGAAACAAUACAAGGAAACCAACCAUGCCAAACAGCGUAUCCUAGUGUGUAAGCAUCUCAAUGCUAACCUCUUAAAAUGUAUAACUAAACAAUGACAAGUAUAAAGAGAACCAUCACUACGAACUAAACACUAACCCUUUAAUAAUAGAAGCAAAACGUGCAACUCUGCAGUUAAGCUCCUCAAUACCUACAGAGAGUUUUGUUUAGCAAGGGGUCCAACACUGCAGAAAAGAGCCUGCAAAAAUUGAAGAAAAGAAUAACGCCAAUAUCCAGUUAUCAACCUGUAUAAUUCAUUAAAGAUCAAAGUAAGUACCUCAAAACAAAGACAAUGGAAAACCUUACUAGCUAGGCAGAACUGUUGCACAGCUACAUGGAUCCUCGAGGAAGCAUAAGUCACCAGUAAAACGUCUUUACGAUGAUACAUUCCAUGUUGCACAAAAGGUGCACAAUUCUUACAGGUGAAAGGCUGGUAUUGAUGAAUAGAAAACUGCACAUACAACAAUACUUGAUGCCUUGGUAUAAAGUCUUACUCGCUGCCACUAAUACUGGAGGGCAGCCUUUAUAAACAUUUGACAAGGUAAACCCUUACAUAUAACCCCAAAAGACCCAAGUACAAAUGCUUAAUAGGGAUAAUAUAAUACAGUGGCUGGCCAUUGUCAACCCAACUCAUACUGGUAUAAUACUAGAAUACAUGAUAUAUUCAUUACAAUAUUGAUGAAAUGUAGGCAACUAAGACAUUGGUUAAUAUAUGCAUAUAAUGAAUUGGUAAAUAAAAUAGACUUUGCUUAAAAUACUACUGAAGUAUUGCUGGAAAAUUGCAAAAAUAUAAUGGCAUAUGAGUUCUUGAUAGACAUUUUAGGCAUUUGCAAUUUAAUAUGUGUUUAAGAAAUUUUACAUAACCCCAUUGAUUCCGGGACAAUAGAGUUGCAUGUUUCAAGUUGAUCAAAAAUUUCACUGAUUUUAGUGCAGUCUUGCUUUUCAAGAGAAACCCAAAAGUGACCAAGAGCUCAACAUCUUCCAUGGAAUAUAUAAUGUCACCAAAGCCAGUGAGUUAUCCUUCAUAUAUGGCAUUAUAAUCUCCUUUAGUUUGAGCCAUUUGGAUGUCUUAGAGUAGGACAUAGUUCAACUGUAAUACAUGUGUAGAUUUAAAUAAACCAAUCAAUGUUACUGUGAUGUCCAAUCUAAAUUAAAGUGUUCAUAAGCUGUUGAAGAUCAAUGGUUAAAAUCAAGAAUCUAUCUGAGAAGGCCGAGUGCAAACCGCAAAAUAAUACUAACACAUGUGAGGGAUAAUAUAUAUACAUAUCUUAAUAUAUAGUUGGGCUGCAUUGGAAGACAAAAGCUGUUUCUGAAAUAAUCUGAGUCGCUUGGUAGAUGGAUUAAAAAUGUGAGCCUGGUGAGAAGCUGAUUCCCAUACCAGACAUUACUCCCUGGAGAACUACCUCAUAACUUCAUGAUUUAAUAUUAAUUGUUGUAGACAUAAGCUUAUCAUGUUCAGAAUCAUUAACUUAAAAUUAACCAUUUAUGGAAAUAUUGUGCAUGCCAUAGAAAAUGGAACUUGUUGGUAUCAUAAGAGUUUAUUAGCCAAUAAGAAUGGUUAAAAAUGUAAUGAUAAUUAGUACUAAAAAAGAGAGCAAUAUCUAUGCCGUAAAGAUUCAUACACAAUCAUUGCAUUAUCCACCAUUCAUGUCAAUGAUGAUUGAAAAAAUGACAGUGUAAUACAUAGAUAUUUUUCUCUUCCAAAAAUCUUAGACUUAUGAGAAAUGCACUAAAAUGAAUGUGAAGUUAUGUAUUGAGAAUCAUGUACCUUCAUGUGGCAUGAAAGGUAAUUAUGACGGAGAUAGUAGAAAGAGUAUUCAACGAGGGAAGGAGAAACACAACACACCCCGCGAGGGGAGAGUGGGGCCAAUAAAAAAAAGAAAGUGGCCGCCGAAAACUCUCCCCUCGCAACAACAAACUAAUAAUUUUAUUGAUUUUCUUUUGACCUGCCAAGCAAGCGCACCGGACAUGGCAAAGGUCUAGUAGUAACAAAAUAUAACAAUCAACGUAACAAGUACCUUACGAGUCUACGACUGUAUCAGUAUGCAUAACACGAGGUCUCUCUCACAGACAUAACUUCACACUGUAUAAGAUAAUAAUCUCCUAAAGGAUCGUACCGAUACAAUCGAAAUUAUACAAUCAAUCUCGCGUUAUUUGAACAAUUCCUUCACUAGGUGAAACCAAUUUCUCUGUUCUCGAACUAGAAGCAGAACUACUCAUCCAGAUCCAAUGUAAAAAUACAAAAUCCAUGUCGGUUAACGACGCAAUCAAGACCUGUAAAAAUUCGACAUAUUCAGAUCCAAUAAUAAGACAAGAAAUAAGAACCGGACUCGAAAAUUCGCAGAUCCAAAACUCACCUUAUCAAAAUCAAAACCAGAUCGAAGUAUUCCUCGCCUACGUCAAAUAAAUUUCUUCAUCCCUGAACGAGAACGAUUCCGUGAAAUCGAGAGCGAGAAUUCGAGCGGAUCUUGCAAAGAAUCAUCGCUUAAAACGUGAUCAAGGUUCAAUUCGCGGUGAUUUGACCGAGUCAGAUGGCGCCUAAUAGGGUUUCCCGCGAUGAGGGGGAUAUGAGGGGUUAUGGUGAUUUAUAUAGUGGAGUUUGAUGAAAAAGGUUUAACUCGCUCAUAAUACACCGUUGGUAUAGACGGUGAUAGGAAAUCGCAUCAGUUCAUUUUAAUCAAAUAAAACACUGAAUGGGUAGGUAAUGUAUUUGCGGUCACAAAGAAAGGAAGGUUCUCGAUAAACUAUAUAUUUUUGCCUCACACCGUGAGACGUGUUUCGCGUGUCGUUCUUUGAGGCCAG